UACGAAGGGGGCUAGCGUUGCUCGGAAUCACUGGGCGUAAAGCGCACGUAGGCGGAUUGCUAAGUCAGGGGUGAAAUCCUGGAGCUCAACUCCAGAACUGCCUUUGAUACUGGCGACCUUGAGUCCGGGAGAGGUGAGUGGAACUGCGAGUGUAGAGGUGAAAUUCGUAGAUAUUCGCAAGAACACCAGUGGCGAAGGCGGCUCACUGGCCCGGUACUGGACGCUGAGGUGCGAAA
rnacentral:rRNA from 1 species